rnacentral:rRNA from 1 species
AUGAAUUGCCUCAGUUGGAACUGUCGGGGAGGGGGGAACACUCGGACAUUUCGUGAGCUUGCGACGAUUUGUCGGUCGCGUUCCCCCACUUUUGUAUUUUUAUGUGAGACUAGACAGAAGGAAGAAAAGAUGAGGAGACUUAGAAACAGAUUGGGUCUCAAAGGGUUUUGUGGUGUUGAUAGUGAUGGUAUGAGUGGUGGCUUGGCAUUAUAU